rnacentral:precursor_RNA from 15 species
CAUCCACCACCAGAUAACAGUUUCAGGCCCUGAUUGUCCAAACGCAAUUCUUGUUUGCAAUUUUAUCAAGGACUGUGUGUGGACAUCAUCGCUUGAGACGUUUAUCGACGAGUCAACACG